rnacentral:lncRNA from 1 species
GGUCAUCUCCUCUGACUCAUUUGUGAUGUGAAGUCUGAGUCAUCACUUAUUAACUGGGUCUUGUUUUUCUCCGUAGGCGGGACGGCCAAGGGUACACUGUGCGGAGAACCGUCCGCUCCCCUUAGACGGUGCCAGCAGCCGCUCCUCUUCCCCAAAAACAAUGAGACAGACGAGGUCAUCACCUCCAUCAACGUUCCUUUAGGGGUUGAGGAGUGCCAGCAGGCAAACAAUGUCUUUUGAAGAGACACCACUUAAAAGAUGUCCCUAACAGACUGGAAGGAAAGAUUCCACAUUCCUCGUUCUCUCACAGCUGUCUGUAAACAGCAGUGCAUGACUCCCAUUAGUUACGAAUGGCCACAAUGAAUGGCAUCAUGGUCGACCGUGGCAGCUCUGAUGAUUCCGCCCUUCCCGCCUUUUUUAAAAGGGGUAAUUUCUCUCCCUUUGUUUUGUCACACCUGGGAAGCUCUUUUGCCAAUAUGUGGGCCAAAGAUCAGUUAGGCUGCCUGUGUAAACGCAGCC